GCUAUCAUUCUCCAUGCUUUGUGGAUGAGAAAACUGAGACGCGGGAAGGGUAGGUAACGCCCCCAAGAUCCACAGCUGCCCUCAAAGCCAGGCUUUGAAUCCCUGAACUGGGCUCCAGCGUCCCUGCCCUGAACCACUUAGCCUCUGUGCUGCUCCCAUAGUGGGCACCCAAAGAACAUUUGUCGAGCGAACAAAUGAGUGAUUAAGCAGGUUUGUAAAGGUAAAUGGUGAAGUUGGAUCUCAUCUGGCACCCCCCAUAGGCGUUACACGUGUAUUAAAUGAAUAAGUCACUUCUCCAGCCAUCCAUCUCUAUUUUGCAUGUUUGUACAUCUUUUAAUAAUGGAUUCCUUUCCAUUUUUAUUUUUACUUUUGUCUUCCUAAUAUUGCUGCCUUCUGUGGAUGUCAGUUCCUCUCUGAAAUUCAUUGUCACUUGACUGUGUGGGCCCCAUGUGGAAUUCUAACAGCAUCCAGGUAGCGACAAUGGGGCUUCGUUUUUUAAAAGAGGACAUGGCUGUUUUAAAUGAAUCACUCACAACUCGGGCAAUUAUCUUGAGCUCUAUAAGCUUCUCCGUUGCUAGGAAACCAUCCCUUCAAGCUGGUAAGCCUUUGCUAAAGUUUCGUCGUCGAGCGGUUCCACUUCUGCAGGCCCUGAGCCAGCCUGCUGUUCCAGGCUGCGAAGUUAGUUCCCAGCAGAGGAAAAGCAGCAGUGGCCCGAAAACACCCCUUGGACGGCACCCAUGGGGACCUGAGGUGGCUCAGGUGGCGGCGACUCCAGGACCCAGUCUGGGGGCACACUGCCUGGGGGCGGAUCCCCAGUUUGUGGCCUUGGGUGAGGUACCCCUCUCUCUCUGUGCCUCAGUUUCCAUCUUUGUAAAAUAAGGAAAUCACAGCAUCCUCGUUUACGGCGACUUGCCGAUGAAAUGAGAAAAGCUCACAAAAAGCUCUCAGCACAGUGCCUGGUGCAGUGCACGGCUCAGAAAAGCCCGCUGUUAAUACAACAACGACACGGAGUGUGAAGGUUGGAUAGUUUGUGAGACACCAAAGAAAACAAGAAUGCACCUAUGAGUCACAGAGUCCAAAAUGGUCAGGCCUGUCUACUCUACCACCACGUACCCGAUGCCACCGAGCGAUCAGUCCUCAGAGUAUUGAAAUAAAAACAAAAACAACGCAACAACUUCACAAUGACUAUGUGAACGCCCGUACAUUCAAAAAGAGCAGAAAAUUUAAACGGUAAGGAAGCAAAGUUUGUGACUAUGUUACUGGCCCUUCUGCCAUGUCUAGUUUUGCCCCUCCCCCUCAGCCUCUUUUCUCAACACACAUUUUAUUCAUAAUUUGCUUUGGACAUCAUUCUUUUCCAGGGAUCCAAAGGCAUGCUUUUUCUUCUGAGAUCUUUUUCUUUCUUUCCCUUUUUUUUUUUUUCCUUUCUGGUUU